rnacentral:lncRNA from 1 species
UGGUAUGCUUUUUGAGGGGUCAAUUUUUUUAGAGAAGUCUUUGAAGUGUCGUUCGUUGGAUAGUUAGUUGAACCCCUAACUGUUGCAGGCCAUUUUGCCCGGGCCUAGUAAUAAACCCCCAACCCAAAGCCCAUCAAAACUAAUACAAACCCAAAACAAAUUAAACCCAAACUUUCAAUACCCAACUAACUUAAACAGCCCAAAUGGCCCAACCAAAAAAGAAAACAAAAAAACCCUAGCAGAAAACAGAAGAACCCUAGGCGCCGUUCCUAGGGUCUUCUGACCUUUGGUUUUCUGCCCACCUGCUCUGCCAACAACCACCAUCAACUGCCACAGUCACCUCCGCCCACGUGCGCCCAUACCUGCAAUGACAGAAAGGAAACAAUAGCAAUUAAAAAUAGACUAAAAAAAAACUCUUGUAAAUCG